GAGGUUGUAGCUCAGCGGUAGAGCGCUUUCCUAGCAAGUGUGAGGCUCUGAGUUCAAUCCUCAGCACCACA
rfam:Ictidomys tridecemlineatus contig094689, whole genome shotgun sequence.